ACUGCACUUGCAUACAGUUAGCAUUCACAAUAGUGUUAUCUGUUCUCAAAGUGCACAAAGCAAAGCGAAUCGGUCGCCUUUUCUGGGAACUGUUCCCUAAAAAGUGAAACCCGCUUCCGACAAUU